rnacentral:rRNA from 1 species
GAUGAACGCUGGCGGCGUGCCUAAUACAUGCAAGUCGAACGCUGGAGAUCUAGCUUGCUAGAUCGAAGGAGUGGCGAACGGGUGAGUAAUACAUAAGCAACCUACCCACGAAGACUGGGAUAAUCUCUGGAAACGGGGACUAAUACCGGAUAGGUAAUCGGAAGGCAUCUUCUGGUUAUUAAAGGUUAAAAACACUGGUGGAUGGGCUUAUGGCGCAUUAGUUAGUUGGUGAGGUAACGGCCCACCAAGACGAUGAUGCGUAGCCGGCCUGAGAGGGUGAACGGCCACAUUGGGACUGAGACACGGCCCAGACUCUACGGGAGGCAGCAGUAGGGAAUUUUCGGCAAUGGGGGCAACCCUGACCGAGCAACGCCGCGUGAGUGAAGACGGCCUUCGGGUUGUAAAGCUCUGUUGUAAGGGAAGAACGGUAGAUAGAGAAUAUCUAAGUGACGGUACCUUACCAGAAAGCCACGGCUAACUACGUG